UGCAAUAAUGCUAUCAUUCGGUGCUGUAGUACCAUCGAUAAUGUCCUUUGAUCCAAUCAGUCCCAGAAACAGUUAUAGAGUUUGAAACCAGGCGUUUGCCUGUCAGGCCUACAAUUACUCCGGUGGAUCCUCCACCAUCGGAAUCGAAGGAGAUAACAGUGACAGAUGCUCUUCCGUUGGAAAUUACUCCUGAGAUGGCGAUUGUUCUGAGGAAUCCUCAAAGAAGGAAUAAUAACUGGUGCCAUCCUUGUUUAGGGAUAAACUCCAAUUCCAACCGUAGAUUUUUGGAUUUUGAUAUCAGAAGAGCUGCUGUUCCUACUCUUCCACAAAUAACUGCUCCUGUUCCAUCCAUCCGCCGGCGAUCAACAUCGGCUACUGGAAAACCUUGAAAAACAAAUUGAUGAGUAAACUAAAGGCACACUCCACAGAGGAAACCUCAUUGCUUUAGAAGAGAACUAUGAAAUUAAUAAAUGUCGAGGUAUUAUGCUAUCCUAUUUUCAGCUUCGUGGGUUUUUAUGUUUCAAUCGUUGUUCUAUUUCUGAUCUUCUGCUAUUUUUUCUGACUGAAGCCUUAUGGGUUGGGUUCUUCGCCGCUACACUUAUGAACAGACUGACAAUGGCGAAUCAUGGGGAUUGCUUAACAUCCUAAACCUAGGAAUUAUCAAGGGCUAUCAGUAUUAGGAGUUUAUCAAGGUUAUCGGUAUGAGAAGAGUGUGUACAUUGCCCUUUUUUGUUCAAUUCUUGAUCAGUACGAGUGUUUGCUUAACAAAAUGUUGGGCCCGAGACCAUACAUACCUAACUAGUUUACCUUCCAUUGAAUGGGAAAAAAACUGAACCAGAAUUCCCGUGGGAAGUCCUUUUGUUGCCUAAAACAAUCUUAUGGUCCAUCAUUAUGUAAUCCCUACUCGAGUUCUACACAUACAAAAAUAGAUGUAUUCAACUAAAAGGAGCCUUCAGCAGGCAGUGAGGGUACUUGUCAAUCACUAUGUAAUGUACUUAACUCCGCUUCUGCUUGUGAUUACUAUUUGUACAUGAGUCAAGGAACUCAAAAUCACAACACAUUCACCCUUUAUUUACUAGUACUGAUGAAUUACUUAAUAGUAAAAUGUAUCCCUUGUACUUAAGAGGUUAUACAAUCUGUAAUGUUAAUGACUGGCUUUUGUUGAAGAAUGACUAUGAUGAUUGAACGUCUGUAAUUCGUUUGUCUGCAGGCGUGUGGCGUUAUUAUGAGAAACAACCUUUGGUUAUCCAUCCCAAAUAUCAUUAUGAAGAGAGAAAAACUGCUGACACUUACUACACUUCAUCUCAAUUUUCAUUAGGAUAGUUGAAGUAUGAAGUUAUUCAUAUGUAUUUAUACUUAUCUGCAGGUCCUCAGGAUGAUCUAGGCGGUAUGGAUGUAGCAAGAAAGGUGGCCAGGAGAUAUACACUUGUUGUUACGCGAAACAACCUUUGGUUAUCCUAGCUGAUAUCCGGCCUUGACAUUCAAAAUUUAUUCCCAGUAACAUCUAAAUAAAUGGUAAAAUGUAUGUCCAAACAGGGGCUGAUCUACAUGGUGGUGAACCCCGUUCCUCCUUAACUUUAGGUUAGUAUCAUAAUCAGAGCCCAAAUAGAUUGUUCACGUCCUACAUGAAUCAGACUAUUAACUGAUGUGCAAAUUUGGAAAUGUUAAUGUGAAGAAAUUUACAAUAUUUUAACGUGUAA